CCUAUGGUUAAGGGUGUAAACAUUAUGAGUCUAUCCCUUAAGGUUUCAUUUAAAUACUGCAAUGUUUCGAAUUGUCAUGUUACAAGAGGAUUUACUUCGGAAAAGCUAUGUCAUUCCCAUGACCAGAUAAAAUAGGUAGAUAAAUAUUAGAUCCAUCUAUAUACUGUACAUUCGUCGGUCCUAUCUACAGAACGGCAUUUUACUUGUCUGAGUAUUUUUUGUUUAAAUUCACAGUUACAGAGACUGUUUUCUGAAGAAUUGCAACUGUUUUGAUUUCAGUGUAAUUGCUUUUAUACAGACCAUGUCCCUCAAGCUCCAUACACCGAGGACGAAAGAAAUGGCCAACGAUGACAAGUGUGCCUUUCCCAGGAAUACUGGUGACAGGCUGGUUAAAAACUUAUCCCAGGUGGACCAUGAACAACUAGAGGCAAUUUUCAGGCCAUCAAUGUCUGUAUGUUUUCAGGCACAUUAAAGAAAACUAAAAAACUCGAAA